GGCUAGCUACAGAGUUUGAGCUGGCUCAGGAUGUCGUAACAAGGUAAGGGGAAUUUGUGGCGAACGGGUGAGUAACACGUGAGUAACCUGCCCUUGACUCUGGGAUAAGCCUGGGAAACUGGGUCUAAUACCGGAUAUGACUCCUCAUCGCAUGGUGGGGGGUGGAAAGCUUUUGUGGUUUUGGAUGGACUCGCGGCCUAUCAGCUUGUUGGUGGGGUAAUGGCCUACCAAGGCGACGACGGGUAGCCGGCCUGAGAGGGUGACCGGCCACACUGGGACUGAGACACGGCCCAGACUCCUACGGGAGGCAGCAGUGGGGAAUAUUGCACAAUGGGCGCAAGCCUGAUGCAGCGACGCCGCGUGAGGGAUGACGGCCUUCGGGUUGUAAACCUCUUUCAGUAGGGAAGAAGCGUAAGUGACGGUACCUGCAGAAGAGAGCGCCGGCUAACUACGUGCCAGCAGCCGCGGUAAUACGUAGGGCGCAAGCGUUAUCCGGAAUUAUUGGGCGUAAAGAGCUCGUAGGCGGUUUGUCGCGUCUGCUGUGAAAGACCGGGGCUCAACUCCGGUUCUGCAGUGGGUACGGGCAGACUAGAGUGCAGUAGGGGAGACUGGAAUUCCUGGUGUAGCGGUGAAAUGCGCAGAUAUCAGGAGGAACACCGAUGGCGAAGGCAGGUCUCUGGGCUGUAACUGACGCUGAGGAGCGAAAGCAUGGGGAGCGAACAGGAUUAGAUACCCUGGUAGUCCAUGCCGUAAACGUUGGGCACUAGGUGUGGGGGACAUUCCACGUUUUCCGCGCCGUAGCUAACGCAUUAAGUGCCCCGCCUGGGGAGUACGGCCGCAAGGCUAAAACUCAAAGGAAUUGACGGGGGCCCGCACAAGCGGCGGAGCAUGCGGAUUAAUUCGAUGCAACGCGAAGAACCUUACCAAGGCUUGACAUGAACCGGAAAGACCUGGAAACAGGUGCCCCGCUUGCGGUCGGUUUACAGGUGGUGCAUGGUUGUCGUCAGCUCGUGUCGUGAGAUGUUGGGUUAAGUCCCGCAACGAGCGCAACCCUCGUUCUAUGUUGCCAGCGGUUCGGCCGGGGACUCAUAGGAGACUGCCGGGGUCAACUCGGAGGAAGGUGGGGACGACGUCAAAUCAUCAUGCCCCUUAUGUCUUGGGCUUCACGCAUGCUACAAUGGCCGGUACAAAGGGUUGCGAUACUGUGAGGUGGAGCUAAUCCCAAAAAGCCGGUCUCAGUUCGGAUUGGGGUCUGCAACUCGACCCCAUGAAGUCGGAGUCGCUAGUAAUCGCAGAUCAGCAACGCGGCGGUGAAUAGGUUCCCGGGCCUUAGACACUCAUCCUGUCUCAUCAAGUAGUAACAAGGCAACUAGAGUUUGAUCCUGGCUCAGUAAGUCGUAACAAGUAACUAGAGUUAGUC
rnacentral:rRNA from 1 species